UGAACCCACCAAUCAAAAACGAAAUGAAACAAUCUGUCAAAACUCACAAAUUUCGGAACCACCGUAUUAUCCCACCAAAGGCACCAUCCACCGAAAAUCCACCACGUCCGACCCUUUAUAUCACCGGUAACCCAUCCAUCGCAAACCCCAUCAUUUAAAACCCAACCACCGCAAAUGACAGCUCCACCAUAGACUAAAAAUCCUUACCCCACUGUCGUGCUCUUCUACACACAGAAAAUCCCAAACCCACGCCGCCGAUAAACCGAAGCUCCCAGAUUACAAGAACUGCCACCACCGAAAUCCCAUCAACGCCGCUGCCGCAAGAGCCACCACCACCACCACCACCACCAUGGCCCUCACUUGAUCAGUACCACGCUGCAACAAUUCCACAAGCAAUCCAGCGACCCGAUAUCAAUCGCUAAAACACAAAUUCAAACCAGACUGUUUCAAAAUUCAAACUCUAUCAGCAAAUAAUCCUCAGUCAAGCCAAUCAUUAUCUCAUGGAGAUUGAUAUGAUACUAUCGUGUAAUCUGAAAAUUCAUAUUAAAUGUAAUCUGCAAAUUCAAAUCACAUGUAAAUUUGUAGAUUUAUUAUAAAUACGGGAAGCAAAUCAUUUCACUAUUUAUUGUAAAUUUGUAAGUUUGUCAAACUAGUAUUCCAAAAAUGUACUAUAUUACUAAAUAACGUUGUCCGGGUGUUUUUUUCCUAAAAUUUUGCUAAAAUUGUGCUAUUUGGCAAAUUUGGCCAAAAAGUAAAGCCAACUGCAUGCAAUAGAAGGAAAUCUAUUUUCUAAUACUACCUACUCUGCUAGACGUUUUCGUUUGAAAGGCCAUCGAAUUGAUAUUGAGCCACAAAAGAAAUCUGUAGAGUGCAUUCUAGAAAACAAAUUUACAAAAGCAUGGUAGUGAGAGAAUUACAGAAAAGUCGAAAAACAAUUUAUAAAACCUUGGCCAUGCCUAUCUAUCCGCAGCAGGAUAUCAGAAGCUCAAAAGGUAUAAUAACUUAAAAACUUUGUGACAGGUUAAGUGUUGCCUGUUUUGCAUUUUUUUUUUUAAUUGAACCUGUUUUGCAUAUUGAUCAAUGAAACAAAUGUAUUUUUUUUUUCAACAUAUUAGGGCUUUUUUUAUUAUAAAAAAAUAAUGGUAAAAAAAUUUUGGUAAUUAGAGAUUAUCUUAUGUGGAGAUACUGAUAAGGGAUUAAGCUGAUAAUUCUAUUUUUGAAUUCUGAUCGAUGGUAAAUUUGAAUUAUAUUUGGAUCCUCUCAUGUAGAAUAUACAAGUGUUAUCCAAAUUUUUCAGGGGUAUCCUAGUGAUUAUGCAUUUAUUUUAUUUAGUUUUUGGUGGGUGACUUCAUUUUAGUUACAACUAUUGGUAAAUAUUUUGUAGCAUCAUGUUCUCUUAUUCUAUUUUAGGGAGUAAGAAGAAGAAGUGACAUGAAAAUCCAACCCAAAAAAGCGUGAUUCUUUAGUCUUUCACUGAAGUGUAUAAACAUUAUCUUGAAUCAUAUUUGUCUUAUGCUCAAGCCAUGUGAUUUCA